CCCCCCUCCAGCAGGCGUAAUCCGUGGAUCAGAGAGAGACGGGCGCUCAGUCUGUGCGGAGUUUGUCUUCUGUGGAGGUGUUGAGAGUGAAAAUGUCACCGUGGCACACUUGAAGAAAAACGCAUCCUCGCCAGGACGGUGACAGUUACGCACAGGGGAGGUCAUGUGGAUAUUUAAAAAAAAAAAAUUAUGUUCGUCCUGUGUAGCAGACUUCAGUGACUCCCCGAAGACUGUUGCCAUCAGAUGCCUCUCUGACCAGCACUGAACUAAAGAUGAAAGACUACAAGUUCCUCCGAUUGUUGCAGUGGUGCUCAUGCAUAAUCUUGCACUUUUAAACAUACAUGAUUAAUGAUUUGUAGACCUGAACCCAAAAAGCCUUGUCCUGCACAGUCGACUCAUUCUGCUGCUGUCCUGUGUCACUCUGUGACCUGACCUUCGCCGUUUGGCUGACCACCUCGGCUCUGUCCUGGUCCCCCACGCCGCUUGCAGAACUGUCUACCCUUCCUGCGCCGGGCCCCGUCCUGCCUGUCUGUUUGGGUCACGGACGCAGUCUUGCGCGUGCCACGGUGAACAUUCAACGCUGUCGGUGAGUUUGGUAUGGAACACAUAAAAACCAUCGACCGUUGACUGUGCCCUGAGGUGCGCUCCAACGACAUCACAAACGACUAGAAAACACUGAAUGUUGCAAGUGGGCGCAUGCAAAUCCAGAGGAGCGUGCAAUCACGCACGCUUCCAUAAAUGUGACGCUGUUUUCACUGUACCCGAAGGCCAAAGGUCACAAUCAACAUUCAUUGCUGUCGCUGGGUUGGACUGUGCAGAAAAGCUCACUGAACAAUGAGUGCAACUGUGGCCCAGAUCUGCCUGAUUUACAUCUCAGCCAAUCCCACAACCAGAUGUGAAACACUCUGAUUUCUUUCUUUAUA